rnacentral:pre_miRNA from 1 species
CUAGUACUCCCUCCGUCCGAAAAUACUUGUUGAAAAAAUGAAUGUAUUUAGAUGUAUUUUAAUUUUAGAUACAUUCAUUUUCAUUCAUUUAUGCGACAAGUAAUUCCGGACGAAGGGAGUAGUUG